rnacentral:rRNA from 1 species
AAAGAGGGGGACCUUCGGGCCUCUCGCGUCAGGAUAUGCCUAGGUGGGAUUAGCUAGUUGGUGAGGUAAUGGCUCACCAACUGAGACGAUCCCUAGCUGGUCUGAGAGGAUGAUCAGCCACACUGGAACUGAGACACGGUCCAGACUCCUACGGGAGGCAGCAGUGGGGAAUAUUGCACAAUGGGCGCAAGCCUGAUGCAGCCAUGCCGCGUGUAUGAAGAAGGCCUUCGGGUUGUAAAGUACUUUCAGCAGUGAGGAAGGGGUGUACGUUAAUAGCGUGCA